CUAUGGACUCUGAAAAACAAUCUGAGGGGUUUGAAGGGGUGGGGGGUGGGAGAUUAGGUGAGCCUGGUUUUGGGUACUAAGGAGGGAAAGUAUUACAUGGAGCACUGGGUGUGGUGCAUAAACAAUGAAUCUUGGAAGACUGAAAA